UGGGGACAUCGGGAAAUGCCCCUUUUUCCAGCUGGCAACGCCCACUUUGAGGCCCUCGACCAAUCAGGUUUGUCAUCCCCAUGUCCCUUUGUCCCCGCAGGGCUCCGGGCGGCCGUGACCCUGCUGGAGUGCGGGGGGGACCUCCAGCCCCCCGGGGGGUCCCUGCGCCUCCUCUGCCGAGGGUCCGGGUUUGAUUUCGGGAGAUUUGAAAUGGAUUGGGUCCGCCAGAGACCCGGGCAGGGGCUGGAGUGGGUCGGGAGCAUCAACACUGGUGGCAGCACCUGGUACGCGCCAUCGCUCAAGGGCCGGGUCACGAUCUCCAGGGACAGCGGGCAGAGCUCGGUGACGCUGACCAUGACCGACCUCCGGGACGAGGAUUCCGCCGUCUAUUUGUGUGCCAAAACCACUGCUACUGGAAAUGUUCAUCCUGGUUAUGGAAUUGGCCCCCUUCCCAUCCCUGCAUCCCCCCUGUCCCCAUGGCCCAGACCCUUCCCCAAACCCCAGCCUCUGACCCCAUUCCAGUCCCCGUGUCCCAGCUCUGAACUGGUUCUGCCCCAAAUUCUCGGCUCCUGGACACAAACUUUACCCAAUCCUUGACCCUUGGCACGAAAU